rnacentral:lncRNA from 1 species
CUCUUGGUCCAUGAGUCAGCCAUGAAGAAGGGUCUCCAUUUUUCUUUUAUCAUUAACUUUUUUUUUUCAGAUGCUUUGUUUCUGAGAGAGCCGCCUAAAGCUCGGUCUGAGGUGCGGAUGGCUCCGGAGACACUUGAGUCUCUUUGGAGGCAGAGCCUCCACCCCUCUAUGGUGUUUUCUUUCUGUGGCUGGCCCUAUUCGA